GAGAAAACCUUGAUUCUUUUUCAAAAUUACAAAUCACGAAGGUCUUAUGCGAUCAGAAGGAAACAAAAGCGAUUCAAAUCAGAUAAGCUUGAAAGGAAGAGGCCAAGGAGUGGAACUAGGAACCUCAAUUUUAUCCUUGAUUCGCUGUAUCUUCUUCUCCUUCUUCGGCCUGGCGUUUCCGUACGAGCCUUUGAAUCUUUUCCCUUUCUUCGUCUUCUUGUCACCUCGUCCACAAAGGAUUGGCACCAGUCCUUCGACCACCAUUGACGACGUUAGAGAAGGAGACCGUCGCUCCGCCGCCAUCACUCCCCUAGCCACAGCGCCGCACCACUGCGCCAUCG
rnacentral:misc_RNA from 1 species